GAUGAACGCUGGCGGCGUGCUUAACACAUGCAAGUCGAACGAUGAAGCCCAGCUUGCUGGGUGGAUUAGUGGCGAACGGGUGAGUAACACGUGAGUAACCUGCCCUUCACUCUGGGAUAAGCCUGGGAAACUGGGUCUAAUACCGGAUAGGAGCGUCCACCGCAUGGUGGGUGUUGGAAAGAUUUAUCGGUUUUGGAUGGACUCGCGGCCUAUCAGCUUGUUGGUGUGGUAAUGGCUCACCAAGGCGACGACGGGUAGCCGGCCUGAGAGGGUGACCGGCCACACUGGGACUGAGACACGGCCCAGACUCCUACGGGAGGCAGCAGUGGGGAAUAUUGCACAAUGGGCGCAAGCCUGAUGCAGCGACGCCGCGUGAGGGAUGACGGCCUUCGGGUUGUAAACCUCUUUCAGUAGGGAAGAAGCGAAAGUGACGGUACCUGCAGAAGAAGCACCGGCUAACUACGUG
rnacentral:rRNA from 1 species